GAGCACGUAGGUGGGUUUGUAAGUCAGAUGUGAAAGCCUUCUGUUCAACGGAAGAAUUGCAUCUGAAACUGCGAGUCUUGAGUGUAGGAGGGGAGCAUGGAACUUCUGGUGGAGCGGUGAAAUGCGUAGAUAUCAGGAGGAACGCCGGCGGCGAAAGCGAUUCUCUGGCCUAUUACUGACACUCAGUGUGCGAAGGCUAGGGGAGCAAACGGGAUUAGAUACCCCGGUAGUCCUAGCCGUAAACGAUGGGCACUAAGUAGAGGGGUUUU
rnacentral:rRNA from 1 species